rnacentral:rRNA from 1 species
UACAGGGGGGGCAAGCGUUAUUCGGAAUUAUUGGGCGUAAAGGGCGCGUAGGCGGCCUGGCAAGUGGAAGGUGAAAUCCCUCGGCUUAACCGAGGAACUGCCCUCCAAACUGCUUGGCUUGAGUCCGGGAGAGGUGAGUGGAAUUCCCAGUGUAGCGGUGAAAUGCGUAGAUAUUGGGAGGAACACCAGUGGCGAAGGCGGCUCACUGGACCGGAACUGACGCUGAGGCGCGAAAGCGUGGGGAGCAAACGGG